CCAACAACCCAAGCAGACUAUCCAGAUUCCAAAGCAGUUGAUACACGAUGCUUAUAAUUGAGUAAAGAAAACCUCCAAAAAAACUGCUAAAACACCACAAAAACUUGAAAAGGGUCCUUCCUGAUUCAGCGAAAAUUUCUUACAAACACAAAACCUGAAAGAGACCCAUAAGUUAAAACUUCGAUUUCUUGACCAAAGAAGCUGAAUCUUCGCCAUACAGGUCACAAGGACCACAAAUGUCACAGAUCCGUCUCAACUGCCUUCUGCGCAUAGAAAGGAACCCCUCUAAAAAGAUAAGUAUCUUCUCUUUUUAAUCCCUUUGUAGCCAAAGAGUGUGCUGCACCAUUUGCAUGUUUUGGUACAUGAAGGAAAACACAUUUUUUAUAUUGUUCGCAUGUUGUCUUUAUGUUGGAAAUGUAAACCCUUAUCACUGAUCUUUCAAUUCCUUCUGCUUUCAGUUUUCGGAUCACAGCCAGAGAUUCACCCUCAAUCUCCACUCUCGGAAAACCCAACUGUAAACCCAUCUCUGCCGCUUCAGCACACGCCAUCGCCUCCGCUGUAAAAGGAGAAGAAUGCUUUUGUGGCAAUUUCCAGUAAACAAGAGGGCAGGUUGUUGGGUUUUCUUUCACACCAUCCACUUCACCCAAAUUUUUUUUUUUAUAAAGCUCACACUCUCUGAUGCAAUAGACUUUUAACCUUCACGCAAUAGCUUGUUGCGCAUAGUCCAUAUCACCCGCAUUGCACAGCAGAACACACGACAAAAAUACAUAGAGUUAUGGCCAAAAAACUGGCAAUCCUGGAACACAUGUUCCACAGUUCCGAUUCCAUUAUGGCACCUGGGCAGACUGCAGAAUCAAGCAACCUCCUGUAAUUCAAAUUAGAAUAAGUAGGAAUGAAAUUGUUAAUAAUCCUCCAUAUUGUUAUUCUAAUUUUGAAGGGCAGGUCUAUUUUCCACAAUCUUUUGUACAACGUUGUAUAGGGUUGGAUAGUGUCAUCAGUAGAAUUCCUGUGAUUAUUAUGUAAUAACCACCUAUAAGCACUACACACAGUAUAUUCACCUGUUGCUUCCUUACUCCAAACUCAAAAGUCAUUAUGUGGAAAACGAGGCAGAGGAAUAGAUAAAAUUCGCCUGGCAUCAUCUUCAACAAAGGUACCCAAGCAUCCGAUGUCACCAGCACAUUCGACCCAUUGCCAAUCCUCCAACACAGGCCAGCCUUAAGGAUACCUUUUGUGGCCGAGAUGCUCUUCCAAGUAUAAGAAGGCUUCAAGAUAAUCCGCUCUAUAUUGUUGGCUGAAUCCUUUCACAACUGAUACGACCUUAGCCCGAGAUGUUUCUACUGAAUCCAUUAAGCUGCCACAAGGGCAUAUAACUAGGUCACGAGGUAAGAACUUUAAAGAUGCAUUGGCAAGCUAUGUGGAUCGAGUUUGGGAUGAACAAGAAGCUGAAUCUAUUCGUCAUGAAUGGAUUAACCCAAUAGGCGUCACUUGCAAUUUAUUGCAAGUUGAACUGAAAUUUUAAUAAAUUCAUCUUUAGUUUAAUAAAUGAGUUGAUGGACAUUUGUUCAACUAAUCUUAGUUUAAUUAAUAAGUGUUUUUGUUGAACUUUA